GAAGACGGUCACACUUUCCAUCAGCUGUGUUUAACACGCAGUAGUCCGGUCCGUGUUUUUUUCCGUUUCCUUCGAAUUUCACAACAAUUGGUAUAUUUAUUGAUUUAUUUAAGUGACAAUUACUGGUUCAAGAUGUCUCUGGUGCGAAACUCCUCCCGGUUGCUGCGAUCGCAGUUGAAGCGUGUGCAGAGCGUGCCCGUGGCAUUAUAUCACGAAAAUGUCGUUGAACACUACGAAAACCCGCGCAACGUGGGCUCGCUGGACAAGAAGGAUGUCACCGUGGGCACUGGUCUCGUCGGAGCACCCGCCUGCGGCGAUGUAAUGAAACUGCAGAUCAAGGUGGACGAGAACGGCAAGAUUGUGGAUGCCAAGUUCAAGACCUUCGGGUGUGGGUCGGCCAUCGCCAGCAGUUCCCUGGCCACCGAGUGGGUGAAGGGAAAGUCCAUCGAUGAGGCCGGCAAACUGAAGAACACAGACAUCGCCAAGGAGCUGCGUCUGCCGCCCGUUAAGUUGCACUGCUCGAUGUUGGCCGAAGAUGCCAUCAAGGCCGCCCUGGCGGACUACAAGGUCAAGCAGCAGAAGAAGGAGGCGACGAACUGAGGGGCUGUACGGAAUCUGUGAAUGUAGUGGAGCGUAUCUCCGAACAACUACUAAAAACACAACUAUAAGUCGUAGUAUGCGAUUAUUCGCUAGAGCUCUGAGAGUGAUUGGCCGCGUGACUGCUGAUAAGUGCACAGGGAGUAUAGGAUUCGACAUUCAUUGAUACUGACGGAUAGCUGGAACUGAUCUUGUAUGAAUGCAUGUUCACGUGUGUAUUUUAAUGGGGAAUUCUAUGUAGUCCCGAGAG